rnacentral:lncRNA from 1 species
UGUGCACAGUGUAAAGGCACCAACUGUGGGUGCCCGGCUCAAGAGAGGGCCUGCGGGUUAUGUCUCAGGUUUUACCAUGCUUUCUGAUCCUUCUGAUUUACCAAGGAAUGCCUUUAGAAUUUUUACCAUUCUUGUGGAAUUUUUAUGUAUUGAGCAUAUUGAUUAUGCUUUAGAAACGGGGCUUGCUGGGAUCGAACUCAGGUGGUCAGGCUUGGCAGCAAGCACCUUUACCCACUGAGCCAUCUCGCCAGCCCCCCAAAAGCUUUUUAUGAAAGGGUAGUCAGAGAAGGCCUCUGAGAAGACACAUGAACCAGAGAACUCAAUAAAGUGGAAUUCCAUCAUCAGAUUCUAGGAACGCAAAUCUCUAUUUUUUGGAUGUUGUACAACAGGCCAAUACUAUUUUUCAUCUUUUUGACAAACAGUUUAAUGAUCACCUAAUGCCACUAAUAAGCUCUUCUCCUAAGUUGUCUGAAUGCCUCCAGAAGAAGAAGGAGAUAAUUGAGCAGAUGGAGAUGAAGUUGGACACUGGCAUCGAUAGGACGUUAAAUUGUAUGAUUGGACAGAUGAAGCACAUCUUGGCUGCAGAACAAAAGAAAACAGAUUUUAAGCCAGAAGAUGAAAACAAUGUUUUGAUUCAGUAUACUAAUGCAUGUGUAAAGGUUUGUGCUUAUGUAAGAAAACAAGUUGAGAAGAUUAAGAAUUCCAUGGAUGGGAAGAAUGUGGACACGGUUCUGAUGGAGCUCGGAGUACGUUUCCACCGGCUUACUUA